UGGUGAACGGCCAUGCCCUUUACUGGGUGUGGUCGGGAACCCAUGACUUUUACUGUGAAAAAAUUAGAGUGUUCAAAGCAGGCUUACGCCCGAAUACAUUAGCAUGGAAUAAUAAAAUAGGACGUGCGGUCCUAUUUUGUUGGUUUCUAGGAUCGCCGUAAUGAUUAAUAGGGAUAGUUGGGGGCAUUCGUAUUCAAUUGUCAGAGGUGAAAUUCUUGGAUUUAUUGAAGACGAACUACUGCGAAAGCAUUUGCCAAGGAUGUUUUCAUUGAUCAAGAACGAAGGUUAGGGGAUCGAAAACGAUCAGAUACCGUUGUAGUCUUAACAGUAAACGAUGCCGACUAGGGAUCGGAUGAGGCUUUUAAUGACUCAUUCGGCACCUGAAGAGAAAUCUUUAAGUCAGGUUCGGGGGGGAGUAUGGUCGCAAGGCUGAAACUUAAAGGAAUUGACGGAAGGGCACCACCAGGUGUGGAGCCUGCGGCUUAAUUUGACUCAACACGGGGAAACUCACCAGGUCCAGACACGACAAGGAUUGACAGAUUGAUAGCUCUUUCUUGAUUUCGUGGUUGGUGGUGCAUGGCCGUUCUUAGUUGGUGGAGUGAUUUGUCUGGUUAAUUCCGAUAACGAACGAGACCUUAACCUGCUAAAUAGCCCGGCCGACUUUGGUUGGUCGCUGGCUUCUUAGAGGGACUAUCGACAUCUAGUCGAUGGAAGUUUGAGGCAAUAACAGGUCUGUGAUGCCCUUAGAUGUUCUGGGCCGCACGCGCGCUACACUGACCGAACCAGCGAGUUUUUUUCCUUGGCCGGAAGGCCUGGGUAAUCUUGUGAAAUUCGGUCGUGAUGGGGAUAGAGCAUUGCAAUUAUUGCUCUUCAACGAGGAAUACCUAGUAAGCGUGAGUCAUCAGCUCGCGUUGAAUUCGUCCCUGCCCUUUGUACACACCGCCCGUCGCUAAUACCGAUUGAAUG
rnacentral:rRNA from 1 species